rnacentral:rRNA from 1 species
AUUGAACGCUGGCGGCCGGCCUAACACAUGCAAGUCGAACGAGUGGCGGACGGGUGAGUCAUGUCUGGGAAACUGCCUGAUGGAGGGGGAUAACUACUGGAAACGGUAGCUAAUACCGCAUACCAUCGGAUGUGCCCAGAUGGGAUUAACUAGUAGGUGGGGUAAAUGCUCACCUAGGCGACGAUCCCUAGCUGGUCUGAGAGGAUGACCAGCCACACUGGAACUGAGACACGGUACAGACUCCGACGGGAGGCAGCAUUGGGGAAUAUUGCACAAUUGGCGCAAGCCUGAGGCAGCAAUGCCGCGUGUAUGAAGAAGGCCUUCGGGUUGUAAAGUCCUUUCAGCGGGGAGGCGUUACCCGCAGAAGAAGCACCGGCUAACUCCGUGCCAGCAGCCGCGGUAAUAC